rnacentral:rRNA from 1 species
UACGUAGGGGGCAGCGUUGUCCGGAAUCAUUGGGCGUAAAGCGCGUGUAGGCGGCUUGGUAAGUCCGCUCUGAAAGCCCGGGGCUCAACCCCGGGAGGCGGGUGGAUACUGUCAAGCUCGAGUCCGGAAGAGGCGAGUGGAAUUCCUGGUGUAGCGGUGAAAUGCGCAGAUAUCAGGAGGAACACCAAUGGCGAAGGCAGCUCGCUGGGACGUGACUGACGCUGAGACGCGAAAGCGUGGGGAGCAAACAGG